UGGGUGCUGGAAGCCAUUCAGCUGUAAUCUAAUUAGCACCAUGUUCAGAUUGCAGCAAAGCAUGCAAAUAGCUCAUUUGCCUUUGAAAAUGACACAAUUUGAGAUAUUUUUCAAGGAGUUGUCCUGACAUGCUGAACUCACUCAUUGAUUGUCCUCCUUGAUUUGAAUUCAUCUUGUGCUAAAACACCUCCCGGAUUUCUCCAAAUUCUCUAUUUCAGUGCUUUGUUCAUACUGUUAUAUUUUAAUAUUUGCCAGGUCCUGUUAGGCUACUACACUUUGAUUGGCUCACAGAAUUUUAUGUGAAUUUCAGUUUGUUGAUUUUCGGCUUCCUGUGCCUAAGCUCCAGAAUGUUCUUCACUAAAGUUCUGUCAGUUACAAUGUGUUGGAUAUUGUGAUGCACAUGGGAGUCCUGCUUACAAUGAAAAAGCCUCUAAGUAGCUUUCCAGGAACAGGUGACUAUUAUGAGCCAAAGGUAGGAAGCUGCUCUCAGCGGUCCUAAUAAGUCAUUUCAACUUGCGGAACUGAUGUGGCUGUUAAAGAAGUGUCAAUAGCACAGUGGGCUCUCCAACGGACAGUCGAGCACAUUAGGAAGGAACACAGAUUCUAGAGCAGACAUGUCUGGGCAGAAUUCCAGCUCCAGAAGCACAAAGAGUCGGGCAGCAGCAAGAGUCAUGAGGACCUGCAUCUUGGAAUCACCCACCGUGUAUUCUAGAGUCCCCCGUGUUGUGAAUUUAGGCUCAACCAAAAGUUUAAAGGGCUCAGCCAAAAAGCUUAAAGGUGACUUUAACAUUGGACUUGGCAGGCUAAGUAAGAAGACUGCUCUACCCAGUGGUAGGUGGGUGGGCCUCAUCCCAUCAGUCAAAGGCCUGAAUAGAACAAAAAGGAUUCUCGGUAAGAGGGAAUUCCUCUAGCUUGGCUGCCUUCCAACUGGACAUAGGUUUCUCUUGACUCCAGAGUGCAAGGACACCAUCUUCUCUCCGGGGUCUCAGGCCUUUGACCUUGAACUGUAACUAAACCACUGACUCUCCCACGUGCUGACUCAUCCUAAAGAUCUUGGGACUUAUCAGCUUGUAUUAUGUAAAAUUUUUCCCCGUUUUCCCCCUUGCUUGUAGAGUAAUCUUGUAACAAAGAUUUUAUUUAACCAAAAAAAAAAAAGUGUAUCUGACACAUCAGUCCAUUUAUUCAGCAAAAACAUGCACUUAGGGUCUAUGAUAUACCGGGCCCUACACUAACCUCUGAUACAGAACAAGGAAUAUGGUUGUUACUUUUGUGGAGAUUUUAGUCUGGUAGAGGAGAGAGAAACAUUGUACAAAUAAAUGAAAUAUA